UCAGAAACAAGGAUCAGGGAGAGAGUGCCAGUGAAGUCCCAAGCUCCACACAAAACUAGUUCAACCUUACUUAAACUAGACCUAAACCAGAAAGUGAGAGGCCAUAUCCUGAAGACACAAAGAGGUAACCAGCAGAAAAUUGGAGAACCAGAGCCAUUAUCUGCAGAGAGGAUAAAAAGGCAGAGAAUAACUAGUGAAGUACCUGUAGAGGUACUGAAUGACUGCUUAGAUACUCAAACAGGUAUCAAAGUUCAGAGAUCGUAUUUGAGGAAGAACAGGCUCCCAAAGAGGCUUAAAAUGACAUCUGAGGGCAGACAUUCCCAAACACAGAGUGGUUAUCCAGUCAAUCUGCCUCUGUGAAUGAACUUGAACUGGAGUCCUUAACCAAGGCUGGGUGGAAGGCUUGUGAAGUUCACUUCUCUGGGAGAACUGUCUCCUCGAUGCUGAUCGUAGUGGGGAUUACCUGAGCUAUGAGCCUUGGCGGUCUUCAUGCCAUGCUAUAAGCCCCAGAGCAGGCUCCUAUUGGAGGAGAGAGCACUCCUUCCUACCCAGGGUGCUAAAUAACCAUGUUCUUGAGGGUCUGUCUCCUGCUCACCAAAGAAUGUCAAGGGGCUGAAUGUAAGGUUAAAUGUAAAUCAGCGACUAUGGGCCUUGUUGGUAGACGUUCCAUGCUGUUAGUGAUUUGCUGCCAGCUAAAUGCUGCAGACAAGCUAUUUUGUCUGAUAGUGAUGCAGGUCAUAAAUUUAAUGCAAGGUCCAGUUUUUUUCCCUCAUAUUCCCCUGCACGUGUACAUGUUUAUCCUUGUUUGGACUAUGUUCAAAAAAAGAUACCGAUCCUACGGUUUGUCUUAUAUGUAUGGCAGUGCAGUUUCGCUGCAAUUUUUUUAGUGUAAGUUAUGAAUAUAUACUUUU